ACGGCUCAGUAACACGUCAACAAUCUAACCUAAAGUGGGGAAUAACUUCGAGAAAUUGAAGACAGUACUCCAUAGAAAAUAGAAACUCGGAGAAGCCUAUUUUCCAAAGCUUCGGCGCUUUAGGAUGAGUUGGCGGCAGAUUAGGCUGUUGGUGGGGUAAAGGCCCACCAAACCAAAGAUCUGUAGGGGGAAUGAGAGUUCGAGCCUCGAGAAGGACACUGAGACAAGGGUCCUAGCCCUACGGGGUGCAGCAGAUGCGAAACCUUCACAAUGCACGCAAGUGUGAUGAGGGAAUCCAACGUGCAUAUCGUAAGAUAUGCUUUUGUUAAAUGUAAAUAGUUUGGCGAAUAAGGAGUGGGCAAGACCGGUGCCAGCCGCCGCGGUAAUCCCGGCGCUCCAAGUGGUGAUCGCGAUUAUUGGGCCUAUAGCAUCCGUAGCCGGUUGAAUAAGUUUUUGGUGAAAUCUGGCAGCUUAACUGUCAGGCGUGCCGAAAAUACUGUUCAACUUGAGACUGGGAGGAGUUAGGAGUAUUCCAUGGGGAGCGGUAGAAUGUUUUAAUCCAUGGAGGACUGCCGGUGGCGAAGGCGCCUAACUAGAACAGGUCUGACGGUGAGGGAUGAAAGCUAGGGGAGCGAAGAGGAUUAGAUACCCUUGUAGUCCUAGCUGUAAACGCUGCCUGCUUGGUGUUGUGUAUCUUUCGAAGAUGUGCAGUGCCGUAAUGAAGAUGUUUAGCAGGCCGCCUGGGGAGUACGGUCGCAAGGCUGAAACUUAAAGGAAUAGGCGGGGGAGCACUACAAGGGGUGCGCGCUGCGGUUCAAUUGGAUUCAACGCCGGG
rnacentral:rRNA from 1 species